UCUUAUCUAGAGAGACGGAGGGAUUUGGCCCUGUGAAGUCUCAGCAACCAGUCUGACGAAGACACGGUGCUAAUUCCAAUAGGCUGCGCCUAAAAGAUGAGA
rnacentral:ncRNA from 1 species